GCGGGGCGCAUGUCUUAACAUGCAAGUCGAACGGUAACAGGGAGCUUGCUCCGCUGACGAGUGGCGAACGGGUGAGUAAUACAUCGGAACGUGCCCAGUAAUGGGGGAUAGCUCGGCGAAAGCCGGAUUAAUACCGCAUACGCCCUGAGGGGGAAAGUGGGGGACCGCAAGGCCUCACGUUAUUGGAGCGGCCGAUGGCUGAUUAGCUAGUUGGUAGGGUAAAGGCCUACCAAGGCGACGAUCAGUAGCUGGUCUGAGAGGACGAUCAGCCACACUGGGACUGAGACACGGCCCAGACUCCUACGGGAGGCAGCAGUGGGGAAUUUUGGACAAUGGGGGAAACCCUGAUCCAGCAAUGCCGCGUGUGCGAAGAAGGCCUUCGGGUUGUAAAGCACUUUUGUCAGGGAAGAAAUCCUUUGGGCUAAUACCCUAGGGGGAUGACGGUACCUGAAGAAUAAGCACCGGCUAACUACGUGCCAGCAGCCGCGGUAAUACGUAGGGUGCAAGCGUUAAUCGGAAUUACUGGGCGUAAAGCGUGCGCAGGCGGUUGUGUAAGACAGGUGUGAAAUCCCCGGGCUUAACCUGGGAAUUGCAUUUGUGACUGCACGAC
rnacentral:rRNA from 1 species